CAUUUGGUGAUAUCAUAUGUAAACGCCGCGUGAAGAUUAAAGGCGCAAGUGAAAUGUCGCUUUUACUUCAGUCACGGGUUUUUUUUUUUCUCUCCCCAGUCCGGCUCUUGGUGGGGGCUGUCCUUGCGAGGUUCAACUUGCUGCUCCUACGUCACCACAGAGGAUGGAAGGAUGACAUGACCGAAUCUGCAGCCACUCCGCAAUGACAUUCGGUGCCCAGCACUGGACUAGGCCGGGGCCACAGUAAUAAACAAGACAAGGAAGGUCUCA
rnacentral:lncRNA from 1 species